CCCUUAGAUGUUCUGGGCCGCACGCGUGCUACACUGAGUGGAUCAGCGGGUCAGGUUGCGCGAAAGCGUUUCCUAAUCUUUAAACCCGCUCGUGAUGGGGAUUGACGGUUGCAAUUUUCUGUCAUGAACGAGGAAUACCUUGUAAGCGCGGGUCAUCAUCCCGCGCUGAAUACGUCCCUGCCCUUUGUACACACCGCCCGUCGCUACUACCGAUUGAAUGGUUUAGUGAGAUCUUCGGAUUGGCGCCAUCGUGGCUUCGCGGCCAUGACGGAUGGCCGAAAAGUUGAUCAAACUUGAUCAUUUAGAGGAAGUAAAAGUCGGAACA
rnacentral:rRNA from 1 species